rnacentral:rRNA from 1 species
UACGAAGGGGGCUAGCGUUGCUCGGAAUUACUGGGCGUAAAGGGCGCGUAGGCGGUUCUAUAAGUCAGGCGUGAAAUUCCUGGGCUUAACCUGGGGGCUGCGCUUGAGACUGUGGGACUUGAGGUCAGAAGAGGGUCGUGGAAUUCCCAGUGUAGAGGUGGAAUUCGUAGAUAUUGGGAAGAACACCGGUGGCGAAGGCGGCGACCUGGUCUGAUACUGACGCUGAGGCGCGACAGCGUGGGGAGCAAACAGG